rnacentral:piRNA from 1 species
UGCCAGAUCAAAUAAGUGCCCUUAACUGU